AUUGAACGCUGGCGGCAUGCCUUACACAUGCAAGUCGAACGGCAGCGGGCCUUCGGGUGCCGGCGAGUGGCGAACGGGUGAGUAAUGCAUCGGAACGUGCCAUUGAGUGGGGGAUAACGUAGCGAAAGUUACGCUAAUACCGCAUAUUCUGUGAGCAGGAAAGCAGGGGAUCUUCGGACCUUGCGCUUUUGGAGCGGCCGAUGUCGGAUUAGCUAGUUGGUGGGUAAAGGCCCACCAAGGCGACGAUCCGUAGCGGGUCUGAGAGGAUGAUCCGCCACACUGGAACUGAGACACGGUCCAGACUCCUACGGGAGGCAGCAGUGGGGAAUUUUGGACAAUGGGCGCAAGCCUGAUCCAGCCAUGCCGCGUGAGUGAAGAAGGCCUUCGGGUUGGUU
rnacentral:rRNA from 1 species